AAAAUGAAAAAUCCCAAGAACAUGCCCUUACAGUAUCGUCUUAGGGUUUUCAGAAUUCCCAAUUACACCCGCGGACACAACGUAUUCGAAAUUAAAUUUACAACAAAGUAUUGCAAAUUUAUUAUCAAUAUCGUAUCUCUCGCUGGGAAAAUCGAAAGAGGCCUAUCAUCAAGCUCAUAGUUCAUCGAUAUUACAAAUUUCACAGCCAAUAAUCUCCAACCUCAGCAAGCUGAAUCGUUAAGCCACCGAAAAUGGGAGGCCAUGGUGGCCUCAACAUUCUCCCGCAGAAGCGGUGGAACGUCUAUAACUACGAGAACAGGGAAAAGGUCCGCCGCGACGAGGAGCAAGCCGCCAGAGACGAGCAGAUCAAGCGCGACGAGGUCAGAAAGCGCGACGCCGAGUUCCGCCUCGAGCGCCUCCGCACCGCCAAGGGUUUGGCUCCUCUCGUUAAGGCCAAGGCAGAGGAAGAGAAGGAGGAGGAAGGAGAAGAAGAACCGGAAUCGAAGAAUUCGGAUAACAACGGACACAUUAACUUAUUCGAGGGGAUUAAGAUUUUCGAUCCUGUACGAGGAACCGAGAAGAGGAAGGAGUUGUUAGGGGAAAGGGAAGGGUGGAAGAAGGAGAAGAGGAUGAAGAAAGAAGAAGGGAAGUCCUCGGGGGUGGCGGUGGGUCCCGAGGAUGAGAAGUAUAGGUUAGGGUAUGGGGUAGCAGGGAAGGGUGUGAAGAUGCCUUGGUAUCUUGAGAAGCGUAAUGGCGACGAUGACAAGGGCGGUGGGGAUGAUAGUGACGGGGAAGUGAAGAAUGAGAACAAGAAGAAGAAGAAGAAUGCGAGGAAGACUUUGGAGGAGUUGAGGGAAGAGAGGUUGAAGAGGGAGAAGCGCGAGAAGGAGCGUGAGAGGGCGUUGAUCGGGGAGAAGGGCCGCAGCAGCAGCAGCCAUAGUGAGCGCCGCAGCGAUAGAGAUGUGUAUGGGAACAAGAAGUUUAACAGGCGAUAAUUUCAGUAAGUGACCCAGAUUUCCUUAUUGAUGCGUCUUCCAUGUCUUGUUGCACGGAUCUCUGGAUUUACUCUGCCGGAUAUGGCCUGUGGGAUUUUGUUCUUUUUGUUCUAGGACUGGAGGAUGCUGGAUAUGCAGUAGGGGCCCGAGUUCUAGAGCUGCUUUGCCACAGGGAUAAGAGAAAUAGAAGGGAGACACGACUGUUAGGAAUUCUCUCUUUUGUACACAGUACAGUGUGGAAAGUACUAUUUGGAAAGGAUAGUUCCUUUAUCAACUUUUUCUUUUAUACCCAAUAUCUGGAACAGUGAAAAUAUUGUGUAACACAAUCUUUUAAUGCAAAAAUAAAAGAAAGCAGUGGACUCAAAUUGCUUGUCUGUAAAGGGAAAAAGAAAGCAGAAUCACGUUAUAUUUGUUGGUUUGGAGUUUCUAAAGCUUUUAGAUGAAGCUUAGUUUCGAUUAUUGCCCUGUGUAGAAAGGAUCUUCAAAUUGCUUGAGCUUAUGUGAAAAAGUGGGAAAUAACAUUUUGUUAUUAUUAUUUUUAGUUUAGAGUUUGUUAAGUUUGUACCCGAGUUUUGAUCAUUAACUUGUAUAUGAAGAAACGACUGUAAAAAAAAAAAGACC